CUCCACAGUCUGCUGCCCAGCUGGGAUGUUGGGAUCUCCGGUGAUUUUAGUCCCCUUGGCUUUCCUUCCAUGAAAGCUCAACAUGACAAUCUCCAGCCCAUGGCUCCCAUACGUUCCCUUGAAGAGACCUGGCUUGAUGAGGUCGUCAGGGCUGCUCGGAGGGAGGUAGAUGCGUCGGUAUGUCAAGCAGUUGUCAUAUUGGCUGGUGUAGAUGAACUUCAUCAGGAUGAGCUCUUGCAUGUGCUCAUGGAAGAUGUCCUCCAGUGUGCGACCCCACUCUUCCCGCAGCCACGUCCGG
rnacentral:lncRNA from 1 species